GCUGGGCAUGGUGGCGUGUGCCUGUAGUCCCAGCUACUCAGGAGGUUGAGGUGGGAGGAUCGCUUGAGUCCAGGAGUCCUGGGCUGUGGCGCGCUGUGUGGAUGGGAUGUCUGCACUAAGUUCAGCAUCAAUGUGGUGACCUGGGAGUGGGGGACCACCAGGUUGCCUCAGGAGGGGUGAACCUUAGUAGGUCAAAGCUCCUGUGCUGCUCAGUAGUGUGAUCCUGCCUGUGAAUGGUCACUGUACUCCAGACUGGGCAACAAAGCAAGACCCCGUCUCAA
rnacentral:SRP_RNA from 1 species